UACGUAGGGUGCGAGCGUUAAUCGGAAUUACUGGGCGUAGAGCGUGCGUAGGCGGUUCGCUGUGUCCGAUGUGAAAGCCCCGGGCUUAACCUGGGAAUGGCAUUGGAAACUGGCGGGCUUGAGUGCGGCAGAGGGGGGUGGAAUUCCGCGUGUAGCAGUGAAAUGCGUAGAUAUGCGGAGGAACACCGAUGGCGAAGGCAAUCCCCUGGGCCUGCACUGACGCUCAUGCACGAAAGCGUGGGGAGCAAACAGG
rnacentral:rRNA from 1 species